rnacentral:misc_RNA from 1 species
AGACUUCCUCGCCCUUCCUCUUCCCACAACCAUCUCAAGCCUCAUUUACGCAAGCCGUCAGAACCACUCCAGCCGUUACCUCUUCUCUCACGCAUACUUGAUCACCAUGUCCUCUCUGCGCAAGCUCGUCCCGGCCACCGCGAUCGCUGUGGCCGCGAUGGCCCUCCCUGCGGCUGCAACGACGACAAUGACCCGCAGUCCCAUGUAUGCCGACGAUGGCGUGAACAUGAUUCCUGUGAUGAUGGUCGUCGGUGUGUCGAUUGUGUUGGCGCUGGUGUACACCCUGUGGAGGCUUCUCCCGAGGAUCCGCAGUGGCGAGCUUUCGUCCUCGAAGCUCGGGUCCAAGUGGCGUGCGGAGCUGCUGAACCAGACGCCGAAGAAGGAGAAGGCGCGCUUCGAGGACGAUUGCUCGUCUGCGGACAUGGUGUAAGGUGUCGACAGUGACGUCCUUUGUGAGACCAUGUCGCUCUACCCUCUGUGGAUUCGACUAUGCUCGCCGAGAUGCUCACGCACUCGGAUGUGAACGUUUCAUAGAGGCGUCGCGCGAAGUACGGAGAAAGGGGGUGAAGUUUCUCUGUUUUUCUUUUUACCGGCAUGUUUUUUCUUUUGUUUUCUCUGCUGUUGAGCGUGGAGUUUCAUAGGGCGCUUUCAAAAGACCCUGCUCUUUUCCGUCUCCGUGUGUAGCGUCACUGUACUCUCCGCUCAUCCUCGCCCGCCAGCGUGUGUGGGGGGGGGGAGAAAGAGGGGGCGGUGACGGUGCAAGUUUUGCAGCAGCGCACGAAAGCGGAUCUGCUGUGCAGGCCGUCUUGUGUUUUUCUCUCUUAGCUAUUCCUCCUCAAUGCUGGUGGCCUCGUUUCAGGCGUUUUUCUUUUGCUUUCUGUUCUCGCGUUUCUCUAUUUCGACUUUCUUUUUUAUAUUGCCGGUUUCUCUGCCUGUUUCUUGAUGCUGGUGCGUGUGUGGGGUGCUUUCCUUCUGCAUCGCCUUCUCCCCACGUCUUGGGACGACACACGCUUCCUAGAGCAGUGGAGCGAACGACAGAAAAGGCAGACAAGAAGGCAGCGAAGGUAUCCACCUGACCGGCGAAAGAGAAGCAAAAAAAACGAAGAGAAAAAGCAAACAAUCAGUAAGAUGAGAUCACACACGCAAACACGCACGCACGAAGCGAAGACUCAUGGUUCUCGAUGAAAGUUGCGCGAGAGAGGUGAGCAAAAAGAGUCCUUGAAUCAUCGAAGAAACGAACGAGUGGCGAACGUGCCAAACCCUUUUUUUCCUAAAGCGAAAAAUUGCUGCUUUGUUGGAAGGCGUGCUCGUACGCACGUGUGCCUAUGGUACUGAGCAGUUGAUUGAGGGUUGUGGGUAGCUCUAGAGCCGCAGGCAUUACUUUUCCUCGUCUCAUGUCUGUGCUUGGUCUUCGGUGCAUACGUCUGGCUCGAGUGUCGAGUGGUGCCCCCCGCCCCCCCAAAAAAAAACAAAAAGAAAACAGCAAAGAUAACGCAAAACGAAAAGAAGAAGAGCAAUGGACGAGAUGCCGCAACGAAGGAAUGCAUGAAGCAACGAGAGCUACGGCGGUAAGGAAACAUGCAAGAAAGGGAGAAAGAGGUGAAGGCUGGGGUUGAAGGAGGGAGACAUCUCAGUUUAUCUGCGUGCUGUCAUGUGGAGGAGCGUUCUGUGCUUGCUUGUGCCCUCCUUUUAAUCGUCCUUUUGCCAAGAGUGACCUCGUGGUUUUGUUCGGGUCGUGCUGAGUGAGAGGCAACGAGAACAAGCCAGAUAAUGUUUGGCAGCACCGGGUAGCGAAAGGGGUUCAAGCGCCGUCGAUGCUCAAAAACGGAAGACAGCGACCGCAACAAAAAGUGCAUACCACGCACACGCAGAAACACAACCGAAACUCCCCCUUUCAAACGUGGCAGGCCGUCUCCCUAUCCGGAUACCCAUUUCUCAGUUGUGAUGUCGAUGUCUGCCACUCUUGCACGCUCUCUCUUUUUUCCUAGUCUGUUGCUUUUCUUCCUUUUAGUUUUCGUUCUUUGUUUUGAGAUGUGUGCGUGUGUCCGGGGUCUCGUGCGCGUGUGUGUGGGUCUGGCCCGUGCGCGCCUACGAUUGCUUGGGCCGCUUGUUUCGUUACGUGUGGCCCUGGUUCAAGGUUUACGCCCAACCUGCUUUCAUCAUCCCCCGUCCUCGUUCUCAUCUCUGGCAACCGCAGCUCCGUCGACUUCCCGACAUUUUUUUUUUUGACUUCUUGUUUCUCAGUUGCAGCUGCAUUUUGCUUUUUCCUUCUCCACGUGCUUCGCGUGCUCCUAUCGGCUUGCGUUUAGACCAGUCGCGUCUAUUUUUUGCCCUUUUGACGGCUUGCUCUUACGAGUCCGUGGAGAUUGCUCUUAUGGCCUUUUUUUUCCGCCUAUAGCUGCUGUUUUGGAAGCAGAGAGGAGCGAAGUGCUAUCGGACGCCGGUAGAUGGUGUGUGCAGAGAGAUGUGUACACGCGAUCUUCUCUCUGCAUGAUACACACAGGUGCACUCUCUUGGAGUCUUCUGCUGCGAAUAGAUGGCCGUAUUGCAACACGAAAAAAAGCGGUGGCACUGACUGCAACUGUUUCGUAGCCCCUCCUGAUUGUGUCUGUGACUAUCUUUCUUUUACCGGUCGUUAAAUGCUGCACGGGAGCAUGUCCUCUUCUUUCGUAAAGCUCCGCUUUUCUGUCCCUUCGUGAAUCUGCCUGAUCUAACAGACUACCUGACCUCGCGCUCAUUCUUUUUUUCGCUUCGAUUCAGGAUAUCUUUUUUUUUUCCCACAGUUCUUCUCGCUUGCUCUCUCGCUCUCUCAUUGGUGAUGCUGCGAGUGCUUCCCCUUCUUGGUGGCGCUUCUAUCCGUGUGCGCUGUUGCGUUGUCGUGACAGUGAUACAAGUAUUUUCGGGGCUUCACUUCACUGCUGUUUCUCUCUGUCCCCCUACCCCACCCCAGUUUCGUUUUUUUUUUCGGUUCACACGUCCUUUUUUCUAUUAUUAUUACUUCGUGCUAGAGGGAAGGGGGCUGCCCCCCUCACUCUUCCUUUCGCUACUUUGGACUCCUUUCAUCUGCGUUCGUUUGGUUUUGUAUGUGCGUGCGGGCGUGCAUGUGAGUGUCUCCUCUCGCUCUCCGGAGGUGCACCGCCACGUCUCCAGGGACCCCUGCCUCGCUCUCAUGGACAGACACAUACAUUACACAAACAUACAAACGAAAGGCCACGAAAAGAAAGCAAGCCGAAAAAGAAGCUAUACAUCCUUCUGUCGGCCUCUUCUCCCGUCGUUGUUUGUUUUUCUCUGGCUGUCUGUCCUAUAACACCUUGUGUAUCCUGAUGCGGAAACACAUACACACACAGUGAGAGAUUCUCGCAGACGCACAUCGACGUUCACUUGCCCGCCCACUUUCUCACCCUCUUAUGCGCACGUGCACAUCGCAAUCCUCUCGUUAGAUAGAGGCGUCCGCACGUGCGCAUAAGGGGGUGAGAAAGUGGGGGGGGGCAAGUGAACGUCGAUGUGCGUCUGCGAGAAUCUCUCACUGUGUGUGCGUGUGUGUGCGUCUCCACUACGAGUGCUUCAUAUGGAUGAGGAAGGUUAGAGGUGACAGCAAAGCGAAAACAGCACAGGGCACACGAAGGAAAGGUAAGAACUCGUGCAAAACAAACAACAACAAAAAACGAAACUUCAUCGUCGGAAAUGUGCAGCGCUCCAGUGCACGAAAAGGCCAAUCGGCGCUCGAUGCUACUCCAGCUCUUCUUUUCCUUCUACUGCUCCGUAAGACGAGCGAGGGAGAGCGGGAAGGCUGCGUGCGUGUGUGUGUGUGUGUGUGCGUGCAGGGAAAGGAGGAUGCGUACGGCUUCCCUCAAGCGGUGACAGUGCCGCGCAGACGUGCAGCCGUGGGGUGUGCGUCUGCACACGUGCUUCACGCGAACCAUCGAUGCGCAUCGAGUGUGCAGAGAGGGACGAGGUCUCCUUAUGGGUACAUGUGGUUCGGAGGUGCGUCGUCUCUUCCUGAGCUAAGGUCGGCUCUCUCGUGCGCUGCUGAAACGCGUGAUCGUCGCCUAACACGCCGCAAGUUCAACGCUUGCGGGCUGCGCGCCUGUGACGCUUGCGCGUUUUGUGCAGCCCUUCCUUGCCUUCACAGCCGAUGAGUCGCUUUCUUUCUUUUUCACUUCUACUUGCCUCGAUUCUUACUUCGUUUGUCGCAUCACCCCCCCCUCCCUCCUCCGCCAUGCGACACCCACCACACUUUGCCGCAUCGGCGCCCUUUUGGGUGCUACACCGCAAACGCCCAUAAACAAAUCUGCUGACGCGUUGUUGCGCGUGACCUUGCCUGCCUUCUACAACGGUGCGGCACUCCUGCUCUUCAUUAUGCACUGCCCACUACACCGACGCCGCUCGAUCACCAUCGACGUAUCCACUCCAAUCAACGUACACAAG